rnacentral:rRNA from 1 species
AGUGAACGCUGGCGGCAGGCCUAACACAUGCAAGUCGAGCGGCAGCGCGUCCGACCACCCUCGGGUGGUCGGAUGGCGGCGAGCGGCGGACGGGUGAGGAAUGCAUCGGAAUCUGCCUCGUUGUGGGGGAUAACGUAGGGAAACUUACGCUAAUACCGCAUACGACCUACGGGUGAAAGUGGGGGACCUUCGGGCCUCACGCGAUGAGAUGAGCCGAUGCCGGAUUAGCUAGUUGGCGGGGUAAAGGCCCACCAAGGCGACGAUCCGUAGCUGGUCUGAGAGGAUGAUCAGCCACACUGGAGCUGAGACACGGUCCAGACUCCUACGGGAGGCAGCAGUGGGGAAUAUUGGACAAUGGGGGCAACCCUGAUCCAGCCAUGCCGCGUGUGUGAAGAAGGCCUCGGUUGUAAG